UACGUAGGGGGCAAGCGUUAUCCGGAUUUACUGGGUGUAAAGGGAGCGUAGACGGCAUGGCAAGUCAGAUGUGAAAGCCCGGGGCUCUACCCCGGGACUGCAUUUGAAACUGUCAGGCUGGAGUGCAGGAGAGGUAAGUGGAAUUCCUAGUGUAGCGGUGAAAUGCGUAGAUAUUAGGAGGAACACCAGUGGCGAAGGCGGCUUACUGGACUGUAACUGACGUUGAGGCUCGAAAGCGUGGGGAGCAAACAGG
rnacentral:rRNA from 1 species